GCGGCAGCUAUAAUGCAGUCGAGCGAACUGAUUAGAAGCUUGCUUCUAUGACGUUAGCGGCGGACGGGUGAGUAACACGUGGGCAACCUGCCUGUAAGACUGGGAUAACUUCGGGAAACCGAAGCUAAUACCGGAUAGGAUCUUCUCCUUCAUGGGAGAUGAUUGAAAGAUGGUUUCGGCUAUCACUUACAGAUGGGCCCGCGGUGCAUUAGCUAGUUGGUGAGGUAACGGCUCACCAAGGCAACGAUGCAUAGCCGACCUGAGAGGGUGAUCGGCCACACUGGGACUGAGACACGGCCCAGACUCCUACGGGAGGCAGCAGUAGGGAAUCUUCCGCAAUGGACGAAAGUCUGACGGAGCAACGCCGCGUGAGUGAUGAAGGCUUUCGGGUCGUAAAACUCUGUUGUUAGGGAAGAACAAGUACAAGAGUAACUGCUUGUACCUUGACGGUACCUAACCAGAAAGCCACGGCUAACUACGUGCCAGCAGCCGCGGUAAUACGUAGGUGGCAAGCGUUAUCCGGAAUUAUUGGGCGUAAAGCGCGCGCAGGCGGUUUCUUAAGUCUGAUGUGAAAGCCCACGGCUCAACCGUGGAGGGUCAUUGGAAACUGGGGAACUUGAGUGCAGAAGAGAAAAGCGGAAUUCCACGUGUAGCGGUGAAAUGCGUAGAGAUGUGGAGGAACACCAGUGGCGAAGGCGGCUUUUUGGUCUGUAACUGACGCUGAGGCGCGAAAGCGUGGGGAGCAAACAGGAUUAG
rnacentral:rRNA from 2 species